GAUGAACGCUGGCGGCGUGCCUAAUACAUGCAAGUCGAGCGAACGGACGAGAAGCUUGCUUCUCUGAUGUUAGCGGCGGACGGGUGAGUAACACGUGGAUAACCUACCUAUAAGACUGGGAUAACUUCGGGAAACCGGAGCUAAUACCGGAUAAUAUUUUGAACCGCAUGGUUCAAAAGUGAAAGACGGUCUUGCUGUCACUUAUAGAUGGAUCCGCGCUGCAUUAGCUAGUUGGUAAGGUAACGGCUUACCAAGGCAACGAUGCAUAGCCGACCUGAGAGGGUGAUCGGCCACACUGGAACUGAGACACGGUCCAGACUCCUACGGGAGGCAGCAGUAGGGAAUCUUCCGCAAUGGGCGAAAGCCUGACGGAGCAACGCCGCGUGAGUGAUGAAGGUCUUCGGAUCGUAAAACUCUGUUAUUAGGGAAGAACAUAUGUGUAAGUAACUGUGCACAUCUUGACGGUACCUAAUCAGAAAGCCACGGCUAACUACGUGCCAGCAGCCGCGGUAAUACGUAGGUGGCAAGCGUUAUCCGGAAUUAUUGGGCGUAAAGCGCGCGUAGGCGGUUUUUUAAGUCUGAUGUGAAAGCCCACGGCUCAUCCGUGGAGGGUCAUUGGAAACUGGAAAACUUGAGUGCAGAAGAGGAAAGUGGAAUUCUAUGUGUAGCGGUGAAAUGCGCAGAGAUAUGGAGGAACACCAGUGGCGAAGGCGACUUUCUGGUCUGUAACUGACACUGAUGUGCGAAAGCGUGGGGAUCAAACAGGAUUAGAUACCCUGGUAGUCCACGCCGUAAACGAUGAGUGCUAAGUGUUAGGGGGUUUCCGCCCCUUAGUGCUGCAGCUAACGCAUUAAGCACUCCGCCUGGGGAGUACGACCGCAAGGUUGAAACUCAAAGGAAUUGACGGGGACCCGCACAAGCGGUGGAGCAUGUGGUUUAAUUCGAAGCAACGCGAAGAACCUUACCAAAUCUUGACAUCCUUUGACAACUCUAGAGAUAGAGCCUUCCCCUUCGGGGGACAAAGUGACAGGUGGUGCAUGGUUGUCGUCAGCUCGUGUCGUGAGAUGUUGGGUUAAGUCCCGCAACGAGCGCAACCCUUAAGCUUAGUUGCCAUCAUUAAGUUGGGCACUCUAAGUUGACUGCCGGUGACAAACCGGAGGAAGGUGGGGAUGACGUCAAAUCAUCAUGCCCCUUAUGAUUUGGGCUACACACGUGCUACAAUGGACAAUACAAAGGGCAGCGAAACCGCGAGGUCAAGCAAAUCCCAUAAAGUUGUUCUCAGUUCGGAUUGUAGUCUGCAACUCGACUACAUGAAGCUGGAAUCGCUAGUAAUCGUAGAUCAGCAUGCUACGGUGAAUACGUUCCCGGGUCU
rnacentral:rRNA from 1 species